GCCGCCGCCGCCGCCGCCGCCAUGGCGGAAGUUCAUAGACGUCAGCAUGCCCGGGUUAAAGGAGAAGCCCCCGCGAAAUCCUCCACACACAGACAUGAGGAGGAGCUGGGGAUGGCGUCGGCCGAAACGCUGACGGUGUUCCUGAAGCUGCUGGCCGCCGGCUUUUACGGCGUGAGCUCCUUCCUGAUCGUGGUGGUCAACAAGAGCGUGCUCACCAACUACAGAUUUCCCUCCUCACUAUGUGUUGGACUUGGCCAGAUGGUGGCCACAGUGGCAGUUCUCUGGGUGGGAAAGGCACUCAGAGUAGUCAAGUUUCCUGACCUUGACAGAAAUGUACCUCGAAAGACGUUUCCACUACCUCUACUAUAUUUUGGGAACCAAAUCACGGGACUGUUCAGCACAAAGAAACUGAACUUGCCAAUGUUUACAGUUCUGAGAAGGUUCUCCAUCCUGUUUACAAUGUUUGCUGAAGGAGUUUUACUCAAGAAGACUUUUUCUUGGGGUAUUAAGAUGACUGUAUUUGCAAUGAUUAUUGGAGCCUUUGUAGCUGCCAGCUCUGAUUUGGCAUUUGAUCUGGAAGGAUAUGUUUUCAUUCUGAUAAAUGAUGUCCUGACAGCAGCAAAUGGCGCAUAUGUAAAACAGAAACUAGAUUCAAAAGAGCUGGGAAAAUAUGGUCUGCUCUAUUACAAUGCACUGUUCAUGAUUCUGCCCACUCUGGCCAUUGCCUAUUUUACAGGAGAUGCGCAAAAGGCAAUGGAUUUUGAAGGCUGGGCGGACACCCUCUUUCUUCUGCAGUUCACCCUCUCUUGUGUGAUGGGGUUUAUUUUGAUGUAUGCCACAGUACUCUGCACACAGUAUAAUUCUGCUCUUACAACUACAAUAGUUGGCUGUAUUAAAAAUAUAUUAAUAACUUAUAUUGGAAUGGUCUUUGGUGGAGAUUACAUUUUCACAUGGACAAACUUCAUUGGCUUAAAUAUCAGAGACACAGAGGCAGAGACAGAAGCAGGCUCCAUGCAGAGAGCCUGACGUGGGACUCGAUCCAGGGUCUCCAGGAUCAUGCCCUAGGCUGCAGGUGGCGCUAAACCGCUGUGCCCCCGGGGCUGCCCUAUAUUCCUUUCCAAAGCAUCAACUUACUACUGCUUGGCACACAGGAUCAUUGUUGAUGGAUUCUCUUCUCUUCAGAUGAUUUGGGAAUGGCCAUUUCUGAAAAUGUGAAUAUUUGAUCAUGUUAAAGUCAGGAAUAAAGAUGAAAUGAAAAGUCUUUUAUUAUUACCUCAUGUUGGAACUUGUAAGAAUUUGAAAAGUCUGUGCUCUUUAAUCCCCAGAGUUUAGAACAGCAGUCUCUGUGGUUUGGUUUUGCCCUGGUUCAAACAACCUUGUGGCAACAAUGUGCCCUCCUCUUGCAUCAGGUGAAGUUUAUGUACUAUACCACCCUGCCUUUGCUAACAGUGCAUCUCCCCUCUAGUCUGUGCUUAGCAGGGCUGACGGGGAGGGGCGGAGAAGGGAAUUUAUAUUUCCUGAUUGUUUACCAUGUGCCAGGAUCAGGUUCUUCAUGCAUUAUCUCAUUUAUAGAUAGUAUUAUUUUAUUAAUACAGAAAUAGAAUCUCAGAGAAAUUAAUAGAUUUGCGAAGGGGCAUAGAGCUAGCAGUAUAUUCAGGUUUUGAACCAAGAUCUAACUCCACAAAGUCCAUGUUUUUUCAUUACUCACUAUGCUAAGGAUGUAGGAUCACCAUAAGGAUGAGGCCUGAAAGAAAUUCUGGAGUAUUCUUUGUCUUCUUCAAUCCUACACUGCUCUACUAUUUCUAUCCAGGUGAAAUCAGCUUAGUACAAACAUCAGAUUGUCUUGUCAGGAAAAAUAAAGCAUUGUUAUGCUUAAGGUUGUUGUGGGAGGAGGAACCUAGGGGACAGAAUGAAAGAAAGGAAGGAGCAAUCUUUCUGCUUGGUUGUGAGGUGGGGUGGGGUUGGAGGCAAAGGGAAAUGGAUUCUCAUGAACAUGUGAACCUCAAAGAAUUUUUAGCUUCCAGUCAGGAAGGCUCCAGUAAGCCAUUUCCUUGGAUCCUGGCCCAGUUACCAGGGAAAUCAUCUACUUGAUGCACUAGAAAACCAGAAGAGUUUCUAGAAAAGUCUGAGAGAUCAGGUUCUCUAAAAAGAAAAAAAGAAGAAAUGGGGGAAAAAAACUACCAGAUGAAGGAGAAGAUGAAGGAUAUGAAACUGGCACAAAGAUUGGCAUUGCCGGGAGCCUGGUGUAUUCCUACAUCACUUUCUCUGAAGAGCAGCUGAGCAAACAGUCAGAGGCCAGUAACAAGCUGGACAUUAAGGGAAAAGGAGCAGUAUGACCAGAGAAUUGCUUCGACUACAUAGGCCCAAGUUUUUGAUCAACCGAGAACACUGGCAAUUCUUAUACAGACACUGAGGUGUCUUGAGUAUGGAGAAAAUACCAUUCCUUUGCACUUGUACAAUCUAAGGAUUGAUUGCUGCCUUUUAAAAUUUUAUGAGAGAAACUUAUAAUUGUCUCUAUUUUAAAUAUGCCAUUGGAAUUAAUUUAUAUCAAACUGGAAAAUGUACUGGGCUUUAUAAUUUAUUUCUUUUAUGCCGACAUUGAAACAUCGGUGUUUUGAAGAUAUUUUAUUCCAUAGUUUGAUAUCCAGGUGUCCUUUAGAGCUGCAUAUAUACAGUGCUUCGACUAGGGCCUCCUCAUUCAAACGUUGCUGCAUAGAGAGGCAGUUUAGCCUUCCUUCUCCUAGAAAUGCAGCCAAGUAUCUUAAAUUUCUCCUUUUUGAAUUUUUCUUACCAUUAGCAUUUUCUUCAUCAUGGUGUCAUCACUGCAUUUGCUAAAGAUGACAACUUUGGCACUAAAAAAUACGUGGGCUUUGAAGUUGUAUUGGUUUCUAUGUUGGCUUCCCUAAGAAAUCAUGGGAUGGGCACAGUGCAUUCUUUGAAAUUAUGCUAUUCCCUCUUUGUUGUGUAGGAUGGGGAUAAUGAAGGGAUGGAGGAAGUAGGCCUUUUACUCAUUUAUUCAUCUAUGUGAUUCAUUCAUUCAACUAAAAUGUACUGGGUAUGUAAUAUGUACCUGGCAUUAUGCUAAGUGCUGAGGGUACAGAGAUGCUUUUGGAAGUAGUUGAAUGAUCUCACCCCUGCUAUUGUGACUGAGAGUCAAGAGAGAAAACUUAACUUUAUGAUCCAUUCAGAAGAUGCUGUGACUCUGAACAAGUCACAGAAGCUUUUUUUUAGCUCUUAGAAACAAACUGUGAGUCUGUAAAUGGGUUUAGAAGUACCUGCCCCUACCUACCCCACAAUGGUGAAACCAGGUGCUACGAUAUGGGAGGACAUGCAUGUGAAGAGCUGCAUUCUGUUUAUUUAAAAUUUUUUUUUGUUUUCCUUUUUUAAGUAAACUCUAUACCCAAUGUGAGGCUUGAAUGCAUACCCCAAGAUCAAGAGUUGCAUGAAAACUGCAUUUUGUAAAACAUGCAGCUCAGCCCUUCUUCUCUAAGUGAAAAUGACAGGCAAGCAAGGUGGCCACCAUCUCUUUCCUGUGCUUCCCUUUGGUUGCUUUCUUUUUACUCCUCUGAAUUAAUACAACUAAGUCUUACAAUUCUGAAUGUAUUGCUUGGGGCUGGAGGGAAGACUUUUUAGAUGUGUCUGUAUUGUCAAGGCUUGGUCUUUGUCUGGCAGUGUCCGUGUUAGAGCCAUAUCAUCCUUUUCCAUAUUGGCAUGAGCAUACCUGUCUCCUCCGGAUACUCUCGCCUACUUUCUGUGUUCCUUGGGCAUGGCAGCUUCUCUUUUGCUGCAUCCUGCGAGAGCAGCUGUGAAUGGGCAUUGUCUACAUUGCCUCUUUGGGCAGGAAGGGGCUUCACUCAUCACAGCCCAGUGAUUUGGCACAGAGAUAUCCAUGAACUUUGAGUAUGAGUUUGCACAGGCCAGCUGUGCAGUCAGUGUAGAAGAAGCUGGGUACUUUUGCACUGGUACACACUAACUUCUACUUACUGGGGUUGGAAUCCACCACAGGGCUCUAUUGCUCCAAACAAUAUUUUGAUGGCUUAACAGGAGGCCUGGAAGGUUUUGAUUUCUUUUUGUUUUCAAAAAAUUAUAUUGAGGUCAUUUUCAUAUUCGUGUGUUUCCUUUAUUUGCGUUUGUCUUUCCUAAAGCCUGGCCAGUGGUAUUGGGUCCCUAGAAUUAGCCUCAAGGCCAGCUUCUAAGCCCAAAGCUCCCAAGGCUCCCUUUUUUCAGGGUCCUCUGACCUGAGAAAAUUCCAGAGGGGGGAGUAGGAUAUUAUCUUAUGUAAGAUUUUUCUUGUCUCUCUUACCAAUGGGAAAACAAGACUCAGAGGAAGUCAGUGGCUUGCUAAGAAGUAAAAAUUCAUGUUUCUUCUGUUGAACUAUGCUGCCACUGAUUAACUGCCCCUUUUUUCUGAGAAAGUGAGGAAAUGGGGACACUGGCUGAUUUAGCUUGAGCUCUGUCAAGGAGGCAAGUACUUGGUUGAAUCUGGAGUAAAAGAGGAAUAAAUAGGCUUUGCAGAUUAGGAGAUAGGAGAGCUUCUGUCUAGAUUCCAGGCUGGCCUCAGCUGAUUCUGGCUGUGAAUGUUGCUUGCCACUGCCAAAAUCUGUGAUCCAGGUUUUGCCUGGAUGAGGUGGAAAGGCAUCGUGAGAGUUACUGUUAGUGGUUUUGUUCCUUCUUUUGUCAAGCCACAUGGAGGGAAGUUUGACUUUAGAAAUAAUUUGUGUUGUAGAAUUUCUCAUCAUGAAAGGCCUUUGGAUGUGUCUAGAGCUGUUGGGCUAGAACCCCAGGAGGGAUUGAACUGUUUCUCCAGGUUCAGGUUCCUUGAAGAUCUGUCCUCUCUCUAGGUUUGAGAAAACCACGUGUAAUUACAGCCUCGCUAAAUGCACAUGACCUUAGGGCCCGCCACCUGUCCUUGACUUUCUGACUGGCAAGUUGCAGCUUCUGCCUGCCCCGUCUGUGUUCUGAUUGCUGGUUGCCCCCUUUGACUACCACCACGUCAAGAUAAGAGAAAGCAGCCUGGGGAAGCCAGAGACUGAGUAGACUGGCCAGCCAAUUUUGGAGUUUUUCAGUUAGGCUUGGUUAUAGUGAGCUGGAGGUUUACCUGGUACUCUGACCUCACCCAGAAUGUCAGGAUUUUGCUCCAAGGUUGAUAACUUACAAGGCAAAAAUGCUGUGACCUACUAACUACCUCCUGGGAGAAAGAGAGGCAGCUUCACAGUUAAAUCCUUAGUUUGCCCUUUGAGACAGAUGAGCUGUGGUGAGAAUUUUGAAAACUAGAUUCUGACUAGUGGCUCCUCUUCUUGAGUUAAUGACCUCAAAGCCCUCUUUGGCCAUUCUGCUUUUAUUCCAUGCCAGAUUGAUUCAUAUAACCCUGACUGACCACACUGCACAUUGCCGAUGUGUCCAGUGAUUUUUAAUUGCUUCAUAUGGCUGUUGACUUUAUAAGUCUCUCAUUUGUAGGACCCAGCAUGUAGGUCUAAAAAAAAACCGUGCAUCUGCAACUUUUCUGUAGUCCUGUUGCAUCAACAAUCCAUGGAAAGUUCAGGUCAAUUACGCUGAGGUUCUUCACAGAAAGACUAUCAGAGUUUCAUAUUUGACUGGUUUGGAGUAGUGCCCAGGAUUUUGGACCUGCUUUCAUUAUUAUGGUCUUAUCAGUGAACAUAGAUUUAUUGAGCAUCUUUUUUAUGCUAAGCUCUGGGGAAACCACCAUGAAUAGUUCUUGCUCUCAAGGAAUGUGUGAUUCUUUAGCCAGACCCAUAAGACCUAUAUCAAGAGAAGGGAGAUGAAAGGAGUCAGUGAUCUGAAAGUAAGAGCAGUUACCACGAUUAGGGAUGCGCCACCCACCGUAGAGCUGAAUCACUUUUUUUCUAAUCUAAAAGGACUUUUAUAACUCCUGCUAUUCUUCUAGCUCUAAGGGAAGUGCAGGGCUGUUAAGAGUUCUGUGAAUAGCCUGAGUUCCCCCUCCCUGUAUUUCACAUAUGCUUUUCUUCUCUAUAACUACAUAAUACAGGAGUCACCCCACAGCCUCAGUUUCCCUUUCCUUGGUUUCAGUUGUCUGUAGUCAACCAAGGUCUGGAGGCAGAUGAUCUUCCUUCUGACAUAUUAUCAGAAGGUCAGUAGUAGCUUAAUGCUAUGUCACAAUGCCUGUGUCAUUCGCUUUGUUUCAUCUCAUCACAUAGACAUUUUAUCACCUUACAUCAUCACAGGGGUGAGUACAGUCCAAUAAGAUACUUGGAGAGAGACCACCUUCAUGUGGCUUUUAUUACAGAAUAUUAUAAUUUUUCUAUUUUAUUGAUAGUUGUUAGUCUCUUAUUAUGCCUAAUUUAUAAAUUAAACUUUAUCAUAUUUAUGUAUAGGAAAAAGCACGUAUAGGGUUUGGUACUGUCUAUGGCUUCAGGCAUCCACUAGGGGUCUUGGAACCAAUCCCCUGCAGAUAAAGGGGGGGAGGGGACUUCUGUUAUCAGUUCCUCCUUAUGAAGGAAGCUGUAAUUGAUUUUUCCCUCCUUGAGGGCAAAACAGUAAUUUUCACAAUAAAUGAGAUAAUGGAUGUGAAACUACUCAGCACAAUGCCUAGUACAUAUUAGGCACCCAGCAAAUGUUAUUACUGUCAUUUCAUGGUGAGACUGUAGGCAAACUAGAUUCUUAAUCUGUGUUCCUUAAAUACUAGAGGCUGGGCAGUGGGUGUAUUUCUUGAAAAAUGUGACUCUGUACUUUGUUGCCUCUGGAAUGCUUAAAUAAUAGUUGUCUUUAAAAAAAAAAAAACUGCUGGAUAUAAUUGUGCCCAUUAUGUGAUACAGGUGAUUCCACCUGUUUUUAAAAAAAAACGAAGUCACUUACAUUUUGGUGGUGAAUUUCAAAAAAGAAAAAAGUACUUUCUAUAUUCACCUCAGAAUGGUGACAGAGUUACACUUUCCCGUUUUGUCUUCUUAAGGUGUGAAGCCCUCUCCAGGCUCUAUAAGCCAGACAUUCCUUCUUCCCUCUUCCAAGUUAAACGCGUUCGCUUGGUGCUGCCUCUUGAGUCCACGCCUCUCUGCCUCCCUCGGGAGUGGGUGUUUGGGAGCCUCAGGCACCAUCACUGUGUUCUGAACCUGUCUCCUAGGUCUUAUGUGAGGGUGCCACUUCAUGAUGGUAAGAAAAGACAUUCACUGGAGGGUUUUUUUAAGCUUUCUUUUUUGAAUUACUUUUUAAAAAGAAAUCUACUGGUUAGAUUUAUUGUCUCACAAAAAGUGUUUUUAGAGAUUAUUUUGUUCAUAAAUAUUUCUUUCUCAUGCUGAUGAUCAACUGAUUUUUGUCUACAAAUGUUGGCCUAUCACAGUAUUUUUUCAAUACAGAUCCUAUUUACCAAAUGACCAUUUUAGUGUUUUUAAACCAUACUAAGGAUUGAAAUAUGUAAAUCAGGUGACAUAAACAUGAAAAUUAUGUGCCUAAAUAUUUUUGUAAAGAUGUCAAAUAAAUACUUUUUUCCUGAACA